rnacentral:rRNA from 1 species
AUCUGGCGAAAGCCCGAGUUGUAAUUUGUAGAGGAUGCUUUUGGCAGAGCCGCGGGUUCAAGUGCCCUGGAAUGGGUUGCCAUCAUAGAGGGUGAGAGUCCCGUAUGUCGGCCCGCGGUAGUAGACGCCAGUCAAAGCUCCUUCGACGAGUCGAGUUGUUUGGGAGUGCAGCUCUAAUUGGGAGGUAAAUUCCUUCUAAAGCUAAAUAUGGGCCAGAGACCGAUAGCGAACAAGUAGAGUGAUCGAAAGAUGAAAAGUACAGUGAAAACUGGGUGAAAUAGUACGUGAAAUUGUUGAAAGGGAAGCGCUUGCAAUCAGACAUUGCAGCAACGGGCUGAACCUUGUGUUCAUAAGUUGCUUGUGGGCUAGCAUCAGUUUGGGUGGUGGUAGAAAGGCGAGGGGAAUGUGGCUCGGGUGGGCUUGCGCCCAGAUCGAGUGUUUAUAGCUCCUCGCGCCAUGCCACCUACCUAGACUGAGGGUUUGCGCGGGGUUUCCCCGCAAGGAUGCUGGCGUAAUGGUUGUAAGCGGCCCGUCUUGAAACACGGACCAAGGAGUCUAACAUCUGCGCGAGUGUUUAGGUGUCAAGCCUAUGCGCGUAAUGAAAGUAAACGUAGGUGGGAAACCAUCGGUCCUCACGGACUGGGGUGGCACCAUCGACCGAUCCGGAUGUUUUCGGAAGGAUUUGAGUAAGAGCGCAGCUGUUGGGACCCGAAAGAUGGUGAACUAUGCCUGUGUAG